rnacentral:rRNA from 1 species
AACGAACGGCUGGGCGGCGUGGAUUAGGCAUGCAAGUCGAACGGUAGGAUACCUUCGGGUAUCUGAGAGUGGCGAACGGGUGAGUAACACGUAGGUGAUCUACCCUCAAGAUUGGGACAACCCAGGGAAACUUGGGCUAAUACCGGAUGAAAGCAGCAGUGAUGUUGUUUGAAAGGUGGCGUAAGCUGCCGUUUGGGGAUGAGCCUGCGCUCUAUUAGUUAGUUGGCGGGGUAAAGGCCCACCAAGGCGAUGAUAGAUAGGCGGCCUUAACGGGUGGUCGCCCACACUGGGAUUGAGAUACGGCCCAGACUCCUACGGGAGGCAGCAGUCGAGAAUAGUCUACAAUGGCCGAAAGGCUGAUAGUGCGACGCCGCGUGAACGAAGAAGCCCUUCGGGGUGUAAAGUUCUUUUAUAUGUGAGCAGUGCUUUCUAUGUGAACAGCAUGGGGAGAGAGAUAUUAGCAUAUGAAUAAGCAACGGCUAACUCCGUG